rnacentral:rRNA from 1 species
UACAGAGGGUGCAAGCGUUAAUCGGAAUUACUGGGCGUAAAGCGUGCGUAGUCGGUUAUCUAAGUCGGAUGUGAAAUCCCCGGGCUCAACCUGGGAAUUGCAUUCGAAACUGAAUAGCUAGAGUUCGGCAGAGGGAAGUGGAAUUUCCGGUGUAGCGGUGAAAUGCGUAGAUAUUGGAAGGAACAUCAGUGGCGAAGGCGACUUCCUGGACCAGAACUGACGAUCAGGCACGAAAGCGUGGGGAGCAAACAGG